GACUCUCGGCAACGGAUAUCUCGGCUCUCGCAUCGAUGGAACGUAGCGAAAUGCGAUACUUGGUGUGAAUUGCAGAAUCCCGUGAACCAUCGAGUCUUUGAACGCAAGUUGCGCCCGAGGCCUCCUGGUCGAGGGCACGUCUGCCUGGGUGUCA
rnacentral:rRNA from 1 species